rnacentral:rRNA from 1 species
UACGUAGGGGGCAAGCGUUGUCCGGAAUUAUUGGGCGUAAAGCGCGCGCAGGCGGUUUUUUAAGUCUGGUGUAUAACCUUGGGGCUCAACUCCAAGUCGCAUCAGAAACUGGGGAACUGGAGUGUAGGAGAGGAAAGUGGAAUUCCACGUGUAGCGGUGAAAUGCGUAGAUAUGUGGAGGAACACAGUGGCGAAGGCGACUUCUGGCCUAUAACUGACGCUGAGGCGACGAAAGCGUGGGGAGCGAACAGG